AUGAUCUUACUUUGACGGUACCUUAUCAGAAAGCCACGGCUAACUAUGUGCCAGCAGCCGCGGUAAUACAUAGGUGGCAAGCGUUAUCCGGAUUUAUUGGGCGUACAGGGUGCGUAGGUGGUUUGAUAAGUUUAGGGUUAAAGGCCGGAGCUCAACUCCGGUUCGCCUUGAAAACUGUCUUACUAGAAUACAGGAGAGGUAGAUGGAAUUCCAUGUGUAGCGGUGAAAUGCGUAGAUAUAUGGAGGAACACCAGUGGCGUAGGCGGUCUACUGGCCUGUUAUUGACACUGAGGCACGAAAGCGUGGGGAGCAAAUAGGAUUAGAUACCCCCUAGUAGUCCACGCCGUAAACGUUGAGUACUAAGUGUCGGCAAUUGUCGGUGCUGCAGCUAACGCAUUAAGUACUCCGCCUGAGUAGUAUGUGCGCAAGCGUG
rnacentral:rRNA from 1 species